GUGAGAGCGUACACAGGUGCUGCAUGGCUGUCGUCAGCUCGUGUCGUGAGAUGUGGUUAAGUCCCGCAACGAGCGCAACCCCUGCAUUCAGUUGCCAUCGGUAAGGCCGGGCACUCUGGAUGGACUGCCGGCGACAAGCCGGAGGAAGGUGGGGACGACGUCAAGUCAUCAUGGCCCUUAUGUCCAGGGCGACACACGUGCUACAAUGGCCGGCACAACGGGAAGCGAAGGGGCGACCCUGAGCGGAUCCCACAAAAGCCGGUCCCAGUUCGGAUUGCAGUCUGCAACUCGACUGCAUGAAGUUGGAAUCGCUAGUAAUCGUGGAUCAGCCAAGCCGCGGUGAAUACGUUCCCGGGCCUU
rnacentral:rRNA from 1 species